GGGUUGUGAGGUUAAGCGACUAAGCGUACACGGUGGAUGCCCUGGCAGUCAGAGGCGAUGAAGGGCGUGCUAAUCUGCGAUAAGCGCCGGUAAGGUGAUAUGAACCGUUAUAACCGGCGAUACCCGAAUGGGGAAACCCAGUGUGAUUCGUCACACUAUCAUUAACUGAAUCCAUAGGUUAAUGAGGCGAACCGGGGGAACUGAAACAUCUAAGUACCCCGAGGAAAAGAAAUCAACCGAGAUUCCCCCAGUAGCGGCGAGCGAACGGGGAGGAGCCCAGAGCCUGAAUCAGCAUGUGUGUUAGUGGAAGCGUCUGGAAAGGCGCGCGAUACAGGGUGACAGCCCCGUACACAAAAGCGCAUAUGCUGUGAGCUCGAUGAGUAGGGCGGGACACGUGGUAUCCUGUCUGAAUAUGGGGGGACCAUCCUCCAAGGCUAAAUACUCCUGACUGACCGAUAGUGAACCAGUACCGUGAGGGAAAGGCGAAAAGAACCCCGGCGAGGGGAGUGAAAAAGAACCUGAAACCGUGUACGUACAAGCAGUGGGAGCCCCACCACUAAGCCAGUGGUGAACUCCACAUACGCAUCCUUUGCUGAGGAGACGGUUAACGGAGCGAAAGCGACGUUCAACCUCAAAAGAAGCAGAGGGGGCUUAGUGGUGGGGUGACUGCGUACCUUUUGUAUAAUGGGUCAGCGACUUAUAUUCUGUAGCAAGGUUAACUGUAUAGGGGAGCCGGAGGGAAACCGAGUCUUAACCGGGCGUUAAGUUGCAGGGUAUAGACCCGAAACCCGGUGAUCUAGCCAUGGGCAGGUUGAAGGUUGGGUAACACUAACUGGAGGACCGAACCGACUAAUGUUGAAAAAUUAGCGGAUGACCUGUGGCUGGGGGUGAAAGGCCAAUCAAACCGGGAGAUAGCUGGUUCUCCCCGAAAGCUAUUUAGGUAGCGCCUCGUGAAUUCAUCUCCGGGGGUAGAGCACUGUUUCGGCUAGGGGGCCAUCCCGGCUUACCAACCCGAUGCAAACUGCGAAUACCGGAGAAUGUUAUCACGGGAGACACACGGCGGGUGCUAAUGUCCGUCGUGAAGAGGGAAACAACCCAGACCGCCAGCUAAGGUCCCAAAGUCAUGGUUAAGUGGGAAACGAUGUGGGAAGGCCCAGACAGCCAGGAUGUUGGCUUAGAAGCAGCCAUCAUUUAAAGAAAGCGUAAUAGCUCACUGGUCGAGUCGGCCUGCGCGGAAGAUGUAACGGGGCUAAACCAUGCACCGAAGCUGCGGCAGCGACACCGUGUGUUGUUGGGUAGGGGAGCGUUCUGUAAGCCUGUGAAGGUGUGCUGUGAGGCAUGCUGGAGGUAUCAGAAGUGCGAAUGCUGACAUAAGUAACGAUAAAGCGGGUGAAAAGCCCGCUCGCCGGAAGACCAAGGGUUCCUGUCCAACGUUAAUCGGGGCAGGGUGAGUCGACCCCUAAGGCGAGGCCGAAAGGCGUAGUCGAUGGGAAACGGGUUAAUAUUCCCGUACUUGGUGUUACUGCGAAGGGGGGACGGAGAAGGCUAUGUUGGCCGGGCGACGGUUGUCCCGGUUUAAGCGUGUAGGUAUGUGUUCCAGGUAAAUCCGGUUCACUUUAACACUGAGGCGUGACGACGAGGCACUACGGUGCUGAAGCAACAAAUGCCCUGCUUCCAGGAAAAGCCUCUAAGCAUCAGGUAACAUCAAAUCGUACCCCAAACCGACACAGGUGGUCAGGUAGAGAAUACCAAGGCGCUUGAGAGAACUCGGGUGAAGGAACUAGGCAAAAUGGUGCCGUAACUUCGGGAGAAGGCACGCUGACACGUAGGUGAAGUGAUUUACUCACGGAGCUGAAGUCAGCCGAAGAUACCAGCUGGCUGCAACUGUUUAUUAAAAACACAGCACUGUGCAAACACGAAAGUGGACGUAUACGGUGUGACGCCUGCCCGGUGCCGGAAGGUUAAUUGAUGGGGUCAGCGCAAGCGAAGCUCCUGAUCGAAGCCCCGGUAAACGGCGGCCGUAACUAUAACGGUCCUAAGGUAGCGAAAUUCCUUGUCGGGUAAGUUCCGACCUGCACGAAUGGCGUAAUGAUGGCCAGGCUGUCUCCACCCGAGACUCAGUGAAAUUGAACUCGCUGUGAAGAUGCAGUGUACCCGCGGCAAGACGGAAAGACCCCGUGAACCUUUACUAUAGCUUGACACUGAACAUUGAGCCUUGAUGUGUAGGAUAGGUGGGAGGCUUUGAAGUGUGGACGCCAGUCUGCAUGGAGCCGACCUUGAAAUACCACCCUUUAAUGUUUGAUGUUCUAACGUGGACCCGUGAUCCGGGUUGCGGACAGUGUCUGGUGGGUAGUUUGACUGGGGCGGUCUCCUCCUAAAGAGUAACGGAGGAGCACGAAGGUUGG
rnacentral:rRNA from 1 species